rnacentral:rRNA from 1 species
GCGCCUGAAGUCAAGCAAGACUACCCGCUGAACUUAAGCAUAUUACUAAGCGGAGGAAAAGAAACUAACUAGGAUUGCCUCAGUAACUGCGAGUGAAGCGGCAACAGCUCGUCUUGAAUCGCCCCCAAAGGGCGAAAUGUGAGUCACAGCCUUACGUAGGGGGCGACGCGCAACUCGGCUGGAACGCCGGACCACGGAGGGUGCUAGUCCCGUGCCGCGUCGUCCUUUGCGAUAGGAUGUGUUGAACGAGUCGGGCAGUUUGGGAUUGCUGUCCUAACGGGAGGUAGACUCCUUCCAAAGCUAAAUAUCGACAGGAGACCGAUAGCGCACAAGUACUGUGAAGGAAAGAUGAAAAGCACUUUGAAAAGAGAGUUAAAAGACUUGAAAUCGCUGAGGAGGAAGCAGUGCGUACAGCGCAGGAGCCAGUGCAAGGGGACUCACGAGUCCCUGGAAGCUGUCCCGCUGCAGAGUGCAGUAGUGAAGGCGUGAGGCCCUGAGUCGUGUGCUCGGAGGUCUGCGUCGAUCUGCUGAAGGCGCUCCGGCGACUCUGCCGCUGUGCGCACUGACCCGUCUUGAAACACGG